AAUCAGCACAGAUCCACCGAGUAAAACCACCGGAAAACAAGGUCAAAGUGACAGAGGCCGAGAGAACAAACACAAGGACCUUCUUAUUCCCGCCAUCCCCGCUGCAGAGCAGCCCCAAGCGAACAGCUGUGGGACUCACCGCUGGGCUUCGCUCCCACCCCGCACAGCCUCCGCGAAGCUCACACCAGAGAACAACGGGGCUGUUUCUCUCGAGUCAUUUGUCAAGUUGACAUCCCUGCCCGGAGUUAUUUAGGGCGUUCUAAAGACACUUCUUUCCCUCCCCGCUGCAGGAAGCACCUGCGCGGCUGUUGGGCUGUGGUUUUGCUCAAUAGCACUUUGAUAGCCCUUGAGGCCAUUAAUUACUCUUCUGUCCCCACUGGCUUGGACUUCGGCUGAGGCAAAGGCAGGGAAGGUUAGAGAGGGAGAUGGAGAGGAAGAGGAGGGUGGUUCCUCUGGGAUCUGAGGUCAGACACGGUCUGCAGGUGGGCUCUCGCUGGUUUCUACGGAGCAUCCUCCAGGCAAGGACACCGAGAGGCCUUGGCCAGCUGACUUGGAGCACACCUGUGGGGUCCCCAUAAGGCCAAGUCUCCCUCCUGGAGCAGAGCUGUGCUCUUGCCAACCACUUAGAGGAAAAGCAGACCUGCCAGAGAGUCUGAAAAGUGAACUGAAAGUCAGAAACUAUUAUUCUCUGAGUCCAACCUGUCCCUGCUGGUUUGAGGAAGAACCGUCAGAAAGAAAAGACUGAGCCACCACCCGAGCUUGAAAACACCGCAGGAAACCAUGGCGUCACUGUGAGAGGACUAAUCGCCACACACCACUUGGUUUUCCUUCCUGGACGUCACAGGCCGGAGCCCUGUGGUUCCCACACUGCUUCUGCCAUCGCCCCAAGGAGUGCAACUCUUCUUGAUGCCGAGCCCGGCAGGACAGCCUGUCUCAGCACGUGCUCUUAUAUUCUAAAAUCAGAACAGAGCGAACCAACGUGUUCAAAGCAACUGAAUUAUGGAGAGCCAGGACAUUUCGCUGGGCUCUGCAGCAGCUUUUCCGAAGACUCGUGCAUGCAUCCGUGCUGUGGGUCACCAUUGGGAAAUGACAUGGUCACUUUAGGGCCAGGGAUGCAAGAACCUGAAGAUGAUAAGAGCUCACCUGGCGAUGGAGAAGUGAUUUCAUGGCUCCCUGUGUCAAAGUCAGACUCUCUGUAGGGACAAUGUCAUUCAUACAUCCAAGAGCCAUGUGACUGAGUAUUUAUAGGAUCCAGUUUUCCUUGGGCCUCUGCAUCUUAGAAACUCCAAACAGGAACACUUUAUAAGAGCAGCCUCAACACACUUUGCCCCAAACUCAGAUUACUGAAUUUAGUGCGAAUUCAACCACAGUUCCUCCCACCCAAGCAGACAGUUCCUGUGGGUAUCUAUAGGGACACUCAGACAGGACAGCCUCUUGGUUCACUGGUGGGGAGACUCGUGGGAGCUAACACGCUCUAGCUCCUGUGGCUGUCACCUGGGAGGGCUGCCAGAGUGAUCUUGUGCUGUCUUCCCUGCAAUGGCUGCAGCUCUGGGCUCACUAUGCUGAAAGCCAAGCCGAUUUCUCUGUGCCUCUGGGUAACCCAAACCGUUUCACGAUGAAUCACCCAGUGAGUUUGUUUUGCGGGGGCAUUUCCCCACUUCCAGAGUUUCUUUUAGCUUUUCUUGAGCCUACUUAGGCCCCUGAAAGAGAAUAGUAGCCUAGAAAUGUUGAUACACUUUGCAAGAAGCUGCCACUCUGUUCAUUGGCAAGGCCAGGUCCUUGGCUGUACGAAUCCCACCUCUCUUGUAAUUGUCCCCGUGACAUGGAACUAGGACAGAACCACCCAGAAAGGAAAUAUAGGUGCUGGAGUUCACCCAAGGUCACUUGGAUAGUCCUUCGGUCAGGGGUAGCUAGGAUUGGCUACAUUAUAUGUGGGGCCCAGUGCAAAAUAAAAAUGUGGGGUUUUUGUUGAAAAAUUAUUAAGAAUUUCCAGAAGGCAACAGUUGAGCAUAAAACCAAGUGCAGGCCCCAUGCAGCCGCACUGGUCAUGUGCUCAUGAAGCCACCUGUGUAGCUUUCACGUGAAGUCUCUAGUGUUCAACGAGGAGUGGCUGGAAGAGGUAAACACUCUGGGAGUUGUGCAAGAAAGUCUAGGAGAGAGAGGGCAGCUGGCUGCUCCUAGCAGGGCCUACUUUGUGAGUGGGUGGAACCAGUGGGUUACUAUGAAUAACAGGCACCAUCCUAAGCACUUUAUGUCUGAUAUUAAAUCAUUUUAUUUAAUCCGUGCAUAUAAAUAAUUUACAUGUAUUAAAUUAUUAAUCAUCACAACACCAUACAAAGUCAUCACUAUUAUUUCCCCUCUGCUUUCUAGGUGAGGGAACUGAGGCACAAGAGAGUUUAAGAAAAUGUUGAUUUAAAGUUCAGUUCUCAGGUUUCUGAUAAAAAUUGUUUUUCAAGACUACUUGGAGCUUACUAGACUUGGAGGGAUGGAAUCAUGCUAAACUCACAGAUAGUUUAUUUAUAGGCUAUGAAACAAAUGUAUUCCUAUAAAAUGAUAGGCACUACCAGUCUGGUAACUGAGAUAUUUAUUUCCAUGAUCUAGGGUAGCCCUUUUGGGUAUUAAGAUGCCUGGGGUAAUUGGAAUGAGAAUCCGAAGGUUGCUUAGUGAGCAUAGAAUCAAAACACAGCUAAUUGCAGAAUCCCGGGGGAGAUGUCAACAGACGAAGGUGGAAUCUGGGAAAUCAUCGUCCCAGAUGCUUAACGCACAUCUUCCUGGUGGAGGGUGUGCACCUGUCUGCUAAGCACAGGCUCUCGAUCCGGGCCUAGUGCUUCAGUUCUCCCGUGCGGGAGUCACUCCAGCCACCUCACUCAGGGACAGUUCUGUGACACUUGAAUAGCCCGUCCCUUCCUUUAUGUUGCUGCAUUCUGGUCAGGGUGUGAUCCCAAACAUCAUGAUCCUAGUGUUUACAAAACAACUCUGAGGAUGCCCCAUCCACAGAAGGCCUGUUGAUUUCUUCUGGUUUCUAUGUCCGAGGGUGAGAUGGAACCAGGCCAUUAUGUGCUGCCCAAACUUAGCAUUCAAGUAGCCCGAAAGAGGAGAAGAAUAUUAAUGUGUUCAAAUGAGAUUAUGCUGGUUCCGCCAUGAAUUUAGGACAAAGAUGCUAAGUAAGCGGGCUCCUUGAAGGUAAAUUAACUCCCUAGAAGCUCCUACCUUUGUGGCAUUAAAUAAUUAAACAGUGAAACUGUACUUGGAUCAGUUUCAAGUGGGACUGAGGAAGUAGGCAUAAAGUUAGACGACAUUUGCAUCAUCAGGGAAUUGGUGUUUUGUUUUCUUUUGUUUUGUUUGUAACUCUCCACUUGAAAGUUGCCUUCUUCCUGCCAAGAGUCAGGGUGAUUCAUCAAACUCUCUUGUACGGGUGUAAAGAGAAGCUGCCGAGGUGGUUUUGAAGGGCAUCUUUUGGGAACCACCCUUUCUUAGCAUAAGAAAGAGGAGGAGGAGGAUGACAGCUCACAUUUAAAACUGCUUACGAUACAGGUGUCAGAUGCGGUG
ensembl:lincRNA